AAUAUUGGGCAAUGGGGGAAACCCUGACCCAGCGACGCCGCGUGAGGGAUGAAGUCUUUCGGGACGUAAACCUCUGUUGUACGGGAAGAAUAAAUUGACGGUACCGUACGAGGAAGGCCCGGCAAACUACGUGCCAGCAGCCGCGGUAAUACGUAGGGGCCAAGCGUUGUCCGGAAUUACUGGGCGUAAAGAGCACGUAGGCGGAUCGUUAAGUCGACUGUGAAAGUCCUGGGCUCAACCCGGGAAUUGCAGUUGAUACUGGCGGACUAGAGUACUGGAGAGGGAAGUGGAAUUCCCGGUGUAGCGGUGAAAUGCGCAGAUAUCGGGAGGAACACCAGUGGCGAAGGCGGCUUCCUGGCCAGUAACUGACGCUGAGGUGCGAAAGCUGGGGGAGCGAACCGGAUUAGAUACCCGGGUAGUCCCAGCCGUAAACGAUGAAUGCUAGGUGU
rnacentral:rRNA from 1 species